CUUACACAAAAUUUUACUGGUUUUCAACAGAUAUAAAAGGUAGACAAAUGCAUCUGCUGAAGAACUGGAUCCAGCAUGCAGAACUUAAAUCAGUACAAGAUGCACAAGUGGUAAUUCUAGCUUAAGAAUGUUUCCAUCAGCAGUGAAGGGAGGCAGUUACAAAAGAAAAAAGGAAAAUUAAGGGGAAAAAAUGGAAGAAACCCAA